rnacentral:tRNA from 1 species
CGUUAGGUAGCUCAGUGGUUUAGAGCAGUCGCCCGGCAAGCGAAAGACCCGGGUUCGUUUCUCGGUCUAGCGG